rnacentral:rRNA from 1 species
AUUGAACGCUGGCGGCAGGCCUAACACAUGCAAGUCGAGCGGAUGAAGGGAGCUUGCUCCUGGAUUCAGCGGCGGACGGGUGAGUAAUGCCUAGGAAUCUGCCUGGUAGUGGGGGAUAACGUCCGGAAACGGGCGCUAAUACCGCAUACGUCCUGAGGGAGAAAGUGGGGGAUCUUCGGACCUCACGCUAUCAGAUGAGCCUAGGUCGGAUUAGCUAGUUGGUGGGGUAAAGGCCUACCAAGGCGACGAUCCGUAACUGGUCUGAGAGGAUGAUCAGUCACACUUGAACUGAGACACGGUCCAGACUCCUACGGGAGGCAGCAGUGGGGAAUAUUGGACAAUGGGCGUAAGCCUGAUCCAGCCAUGCCGCGUGUGUGAAGAAGGUCUUCGGAUUGUAAAGCACUUUAAGUUGGGAGGAAGGGCAGUAAGUUAAUACCUUGCUGUUUUGACGUUACCAACAGAAUAAGCACCGGCUAACUUCGUG